AGAGCGAACGCUGGCGGCAGGCCUAAUACAUGCAAGUCGAGCGCACCUUCGGGUGAGCGGCGGACGGGUGAGUAACGCGUGGGAAUAUGCCCUUUGGUACGGAACAACCCAGGGAAACUUGGGCUAAUACCGUAUGUGCCCUACGGGGGAAAGAUUUAUCGCCAUUGGAGUAGCCCGCGUUGGAUUAGCUAGUUGGUAGGGUAAAGGCCUACCAAGGCUACGAUCCAUAGCUGGUCUGAGAGGAUGAUCAGCCACACUGGGACUGAGACACGGCCCAGACUCCUACGGGAGGCAGCAGUAGGGAAUCUUGCGCAAUGGGCGAAAGCCUGACGCAGCCAUGCCGCGUGAAUGAUGAAGGUCUUAGGAUUGUAAAAUUCUUUCACCGGGGAAGAUAAUGACGGUACCCGGAGAAGAAGCCCCGGCUAACUUCGCGCCAGCAGCCGC
rnacentral:rRNA from 1 species